rnacentral:misc_RNA from 1 species
GUGAAUCAUCAAAUUUUUGAACGCAUAUUGCACUCUCUGGUAUUCCGGAGAGUAUGCCUGUUUGAGGGUAAUUAAAAAGAAUCUUUACCAAUUUUUUUUGGGCAAAGAAAAUGAGUUCUCCGCGUUUAUAUCGGUAGCUUGAAAUAAAUGGGCAAGUCUCAUUGUAGUCGAUGCGCGUAAUAAUAUUAUUUCGCGAAGUCUUCAUUAUGUGACUAUCGAGUUUGGAUGCAUACAAAUUUGGUUUUUAUGCGA